UACAGAGGGGGCAAGCGUUGUUCGGAAUUACUGGGCGUAAAGGGCGCGUAGGCGGCCUGUUAAGUCGAACGUGAAAUCCCCGGGCUCAACCCGGGAACUGCGUCCGAUACUGGCAGGCUUGAAUUCGGGAGAGGGAUGCGGAAUUCCAGGUGUAGCGGUGAAAUGCGUAGAUAUCUGGAGGAACACCGGUGGCGAAGGCGGUUCUCUGGGCAUUACCUGACGCUGAGACGCGAAAGCGUGGGGAGCGAACAGG
rnacentral:rRNA from 1 species